rnacentral:rRNA from 1 species
AUUGAACGCUGGCGGCAUGCCUUACACAUGCAAGUCGAACGGUAACGGGCCUUCGGGUGCCGACGAGUGGCGAACGGGUGAGUAAUGUAUCGGAACGUACCAUUGAGUGGGGGAUAACGUAGCGAAAGUUACGCUAAUACCGCAUAUUCUCUCCGGAGGAAAGCAGGGGACCGCAAGGCCUUGCGCUCUUUGAGCGGCCGAUAUCAGAUUAGCUAGUUGGUGGGGUAAAAGCCUACCAAGGCGACGAUCUGUAGCGGGUCUGAGAGGAUGAUCCGGCACACUGGAACUGAGACACGGUACAGACUCCUACGGGAGGCAGCAGUGGGGAAUUUAGGACAAUGGGGGCAACCCUGAUCCAGCCAUGCCGCGUGAGUGAAGAAGGCCUUCGGGUUGUAAAGCUCUUUCAGCCGGGAAGAAAUCGCAUGGGCUAAUACCCCGUGCGGAUGACGGUACCGGAAUAAGAAGCACCGGCUAACUACGUGCCAGCCGCCGCAGUAAAAC